CUCUUUCUACAGACCAGAUCACUAAAUGAAGAAAAACCACAGCUGCUAUCGGAACUGACAGCCCCCCGCCCNGAUGCUUGAGAAAACCUGAUGUGGGGAACAAGGCAGUCUCUGGAGUUGAAAGCAGAUUAACUUCUAUAUGCCUGAGAUACAUCCACGUACCUUUGGCAAGAGAGAAUGAAAUUGCUUUCUGAACAAGCACUGGAAAUUGAGUACCAAUCGCCAAAAGUACCGACGACAGCAUGAACAUUUCCUUAAUGGGAGCAGAGAUAUGACCCCAGUCCCAUCCGUCUCUCUGUUGUCUGUUAUUAUUUCUAAGUGCAAAAUAUUAAUGCUGUGUAGAAAUAAAAUUGAACCCUG
rnacentral:lncRNA from 1 species